GAGGGUACAGCUCAGUGGGAGAGCAUGUGUUUAGCAUGCACGAGGGUCCAGGGUUCAAUCUCCAGUACCUCCA
rnacentral:tRNA from 1 species